CCGUUUUCCAGCGUUGAGGACCCCACCACAUGGUAAACGACUAUUUCGUAAAUCUGGGAAGAUAAACACCAAAUACUGAACAAAGUGAGUGAAAUUAAAAUCCAUAUGUGGUCAGUUCAUACCGACAACUAAUUCUAAAACCUGGUACAACUGCAAUUUGUCUCUGAUAUAUGUAUAAAGUUCCCGGUGAUUUUAUAAUUCUUAUAAUUAGGCCAAACAAAAAACAUGCGUGUUCUGAACUUUUCUACAAACAUACCUUCCUAUUUUGUAAGCGAAAAAAAGCCUACAUGAAGUUUAAUUUUUCAAGACGCAGUGUUAAAGUUAUAAUGUCCCUCCCAUAGACUCGAUCAGUCUAUGUACAUGAUGUAUAUAAAAAAUUAUAAAAAUGGUUAAAUGGGAAAAAAAUUCCUACCUACAUGUACCUAUUAAAAUAUACCCUAUCUAUUCAAAGAUGUAUCAGGAAACACACUCACAUAUUUUUUAACCUAACAAUUCUGCCAUUUAUCAAUAAGAAAUCAGCUCUAACUUGUUGUCCUGGUUUUCUGUUGGUCUCUUAUUAAACUGGUUAGUAUAAAAUAUAUAUGUUCAAAAAAGUGAAAAUUGGAAAGAAAGGAGCAGAUAUUAAGAAAAGGAUCAAGGGUCGAUGUUGCCUCAACCUUCGGGUUAAUCUGAAUUGAUGAAAUAUUUUUGCCACUUUUAUAAAACACUUAAAUCUAAGUGUCCAUACAUUCAUAGACUUUUAAUAGUACAUUGUAAUAGUUGAUUCAAUUAAUUCAUAUGAAAGAUUUUAACUCAUUUAGCUAUUUAGCUGAAAUUCAAGCUUUGAUAUGAAACAAUUAUCAAAUAUGCCAUUAUAUGUCACUUUUGAGAUGGUUUUUGUCAAAAAUGAAAACGAGUGCAUCCAUGUUAAUUCUCAACCUCUAAAUAUGUUAUGUAAAAUGUAUUGCAGCUCGAGUUAUUAUUUCAAACUGGACAGUGUUCAGCGCCAAGUAUUACAAAGUGAUUGGAUCAGAUCAAAAGAUGUAAAUCUUGAAGCACACAUUUCAACAUACAUGACAUAUGACCUAUAGAAAAAAGAGAAUAAGGAAAGACAGUGAAAAACAGGAAAUAUUUGAAAGGGUAAGCAUGGUAAACAUUUCUUUUUAAAUACAAUGUAUAGUAAUAUUCUGAUGAUGAAAUAAAUUUAUUAUAAUUUCCAUAAGGAAAUAAGCAUACCUCAUUUUAUAUUUAUCAUGUUACAAAAAAUGAAAAUCUGCUUUAGACUCAAAUAAAUUUUAUAAAAUUUCAGAUAAAUAGUGUUUGAAGUAAACAUUUCAAAGAAAAUAUAAGUUUUGUAAUUGAGUACAAAGAGUCAAUUCAUAUAACAAAAGAUGGAUGUAUAAGUACACAGCCACACGUUGGGCUGACUGAGCUUUGAUUUUAUUUUUAAUCAAAUUUGGCAAAAAUAAAAAAAUACUUGUGGCAUGAUUGCCAAUGACAUGAGUGAGAUACAUUUGUACCAGACCAGUGCAUUAGAUGAGUCAUGAAAAGUGUCUCUUGUCCUCUACAUCAGGAAUACUGAUACAAGCAUUUUUUUAUUGAAAAAAACUUGCUUACAGAAUGUGGUUUAAAGUAUAUUUAUUUCUUGGUUUUAAUUUAUAUCAAUUUCUGGUACCUUUAUAAUAUACUUUUGAUAUAUCUCCAUUUGUUUUAUUUUAAUGUUUUAUAGAUACAGCUAUUAUUUCAUAUUGGACAAUGUUCAGCAGCAAGUAUUACAUUGUGAUUUGGAUCAGAUCAAAAGAUGUUUACAUUGAAGCAUACAUUCAGAACCAUAGAAUAAAAGAGAAAAGAAAUACAGUGAAAAACAGGUAAUAUUGAAAGGGUAAACAUUCUUGUUUAAAUAUGAUAGACUUAUUAAGAUAAUUUCUAUCCGGAAAUAAGUAUACCUCAUUUCAUAUUUAUUGCUACAAAAUUUGCUUUACAAUCAAAUAAAUUGUAUAAAAUUUCAGAUAAAUUGUUUAGAAGUAAACAAUACAAAGAAAAAAUAAGUUCGGUAAUUGAGUAAGAGUCAAUUCAUACACAAAGAGGGAUGUAUAAGUACGCAGCAGCCACACGUUGGGCUGACUGAGCUUUGAUUUUAAUCAAAUUUGGCCAUUUUCUUUCAAAUAUUUUACAAUAAUAAAAGAGUACUUGUGGCAUGAUUGCCAAUGACAUGAGUGAGAUACAUUUGUACCAGACCAGUGCAUUAGAUGAGUCAUGAAAAGUGUCUCUUGUCCUCUACAUCAGGAAUACUGAUACAAGCAUUUUUUUAUUGAAAAAACUUGCUUACAGAUUGUGGUUUAAAGUAUAUUUAUUUCUUAGUUAUAAUGUAUAUCAGUUUCUGGUACCUUUAUAAUAUACUUUUGAUAUGUCUCCAUUUGUUUUAUUUUAAUGUUUUAUAGAAACAGCUUUUAUUUCGUAGUGGACUAUGUUCAGCGGCAAGUAUUACAAUGUGAUUUGGAUCAGAUCAAAAGAUGUUUACAUUGAAGCAUACAUUCCGACCAAUAGAAUAAAGAGAAAAAGAUGAUACAGUGAAAAACAGGAAAUAUUUGAAAGGGUAAACAUUUCUUUUUUAAAUAUGAUAGACUUAUUAUGAUAAUUUCCAUCCGGAAAUUAGUAUACCUCAUUUCAUAUUUAUUGUUACAAAAUUUGCUUUACAAAUAAAUUCUAUAAAAUUUCAGAUAAAUAGUGUUUGAAAUAAACAAUACAAAGAAAAACUAAGUUCGGUAAUUGAGAACAAAGAGUCAAUUCAUAUAACAAAAGAGGGAUGUAUAUGUACGUAGCCACACAUUGGGCUGACUGAGCUUUAAUUUAUUCAAAUUUGGCAACUUUCUUUCAAAUAUUUUACAAUAAUAAAAGAGAACUUGUGGCAUGAUCGCCAAUGAGAUAACUUUGUACAAGAGAUCAAAGUGCAUUAGAUGAGUACUUUAAAGUGUCUCUUGUCCUCUACAUCAGGAAUACUGAUACCAGCAUUUUUUUAUUAGAAAAUACUUACUUACAGAUUGUUGUUUAAAGUAUAUUUAUUUCUUAGUUAUAAUUUAUAUCAAUUUCUGGUACCUUUAUAAUCAGUGAUAUUGUUGUCUUUUUUCAAAACUACCUCUACCGUUUUUUAUUGGGAAAAUUGCAUAUUUUUUAUUGAAAUUUUUGUAUAUUUUUGAUUCUAAACACAUCUCCGAUUUUGUGCUGACCUUUGCUGUCUUUUUUGCAGUUUUUUUCAUGUAUAUUUUGGUUGUCCGACAUUUUCAACCUGAAAGGUACUUUUCGGAGAGGGGAGUGAAACCAAAACAAUGAUGGUACUUAAUGCAUUGAAAACCAUGUGUCUUACAAACACCAUGAUGAUUCUGAUCAGAAAACUGGAUCUCAAAAGUGCUUUCUAAUAUCAAAAUAAUAACAUGAAUACGAAAUUUACAAACAUUACUACCAAUGCCAUCACUGUUUUGGGAAAAUGUAAAAAAUUUUGGGAGGAAUUUUAAGCCAUUUUUUUUAGUAAUUGGGAAUUUUCUCUAGGGGAAAAAGCCGAAUUUCGGCUGUAAUUUGAGGCAAACAAUAUCACUGAUAAUAUACUUUUGAUAUAUCUCCAUUUGUUUUAUUUUAAUGUUUUAUAGAUACAGCUAUUAUUUCAUAUUGGACAAUGUUCAGCGGCAAGCAUUACAUUGUGAUUUGGAUCAGAUCAAAAGAUGUGGACAUUAAAGCAUACAUUAGGAACCAUAGAAUAAAGAGAAAAAGAAAUUACAGUGAAAAACAGGAAAUAUUUGAAAGGGUA
rnacentral:lncRNA from 1 species